AUUGAACGCUGGCGGCAUGCCUUACACAUGCAAGUCGAACGGCAGCACGGGUGCUUGCACCUGGUGGCGAGUGGCGAACGGGUGAGUAAUAUAUCGGAACGUACCUUAUUGUGGGGGAUAACGCAGCGAAAGCUGUGCUAAUACCGCAUAAUCCCUAAGGGGGAAAGCGGGGGACCGUAAGGCCUCGCGCAAUUAGAGCGGCCGAUACCUGAUUAGCUAGUUGGUGAGGUAAAGGCUCACCAAGGCAACGAUCAGUAGCUUGUCUGAGAGGACGAUCAGCCACGCUGGGACUGAGACACGGACCAGACUCCUACGGGAGGCAGCAGUGGGGAAUUUUGGAAAAUGGGGGCAACCCUGAUCCAGCAAUGCCGCGUGAGUGAAGAAGGCCUUCGGGUUGUAAAGCUCUUUUGUCAGGGAAGAAACAGCAGCUCUAACACAGCUUGCGAAUGACGGUACCUGAAGAAUAAGCACCGGCUAACUACGUGCCAGCAGCCGCAGUAA
rnacentral:rRNA from 1 species